UACGUAGGGUGCGAGCGUUAAUCGGAAUUACUGGGCGUAAAGCGUGCGCAGGCGGUUGUGCAAGACAGAUGUGAAAUCCCCGGGCUUAACCUGGGAACUGCAUUUGUGACUGCAUAGCUAGAGUACGGUAGAGGGGAUGGAAUUCCGCGUGUAGCAGUGAAAUGCGUAGAUAUGCGGAGGAACACCGAUGGCGAGGCAAUCCCCUGGACCUGUACUGACGCUCAUGCACGAAAGCAUGGGGAGCAAACAGG
rnacentral:rRNA from 1 species